CAGUAUGCAGUGGUACCCUCCCUAUGCCAUGGGUGCUGAUGGGGAUGCAGGAUCCCAUGCAGCAUCACUGCUGCCCUUGGAGCACCUAAGGAUGCAGCAGGGCCAUAUGGGGAGAGCCUCCUGGCGACACCAGUCCUAUAGCCCUCAUCCCAGCCCUAUAGCCCUCAUCCCAGCCCUAUAGCCCUCAUCCCAGCCCUAUAGCCCUCAUCCCAGCCCUAUAGCCCUCAUCCCAGCCCCACCUGCUGCUGCUGUGGGGCACGCAGCCCCAGGGCAUGGGCACACGCUGAUGGGGGGGGAGCAGCACAGGACUUUCCACUUUUAUUAUAAAAAUAUCUCGCAAGCAAAAAGAAGAAGAAACCAAAAAAGUUCUGUACAAGCAGUCCCAGCGCUCCCAACGCAGCCCCUGCCCCACAGCCCCCCCACCUGCAAUCAUGGGGGGCCAGCCCCAUGCCGCAAGGCCAGCCGGGUGCUAUGGGAGCCAAUGCGGGUGGUGUCCCUGUGUAUUGGGGCGCAGGGAAGGGGCACAUGGAAGACGCUGAUCCCCACGGAUGGGCUGGGGGGAGCCUGCCUGGCCCCGUUCAGAGCUGGGGAGGGUUGUGCGAGUCCCCUUAGAGCUCUGUGGGGUUUCGGGGUCUUAAGGGAGGCCUCGGUCUUCGUUUUGCACAUCUUAAUCCUAGUGUUAAGUACACAGCAGAACACCCACGUACAGCACAGAACAUUGGGGUUUAGCUCGAGAAUUAACAGUUACAUGGCAAACAGUCAGAACAUGUUACACGGUACCUGCGGGGAGCACCGGGCUGGGGGGCACCGGCCGGGGACCAGCUGCACGCGUUGUACAAGCCUGGGGCAGGGCAAGGCUGUGGAGAGGGUGAUGAAGAGGAUGCUCGGGGCCGUACCUGGAGCCUCCCUGGGCGGCUGGAUGGGCAGAAGCCUGCGGGGGGGGGCUCGGCUCUCCGGCCUUCCCAGCAUCAUUGGCCUUGGGGCGAGACCGAGGUCCCGCAGAAGGGACACUUGGGAAGAGAGAUGCGGACGCUCCGGUCCUUCCUUUAAAGCCAGUUUGGUUUCCAGGCAGCAGAGCCAUAGAAGGCAGUGCAGGGGCUGCAGCCCAUCCCUGCGGGGUCAGGGCGGCAGUGGCAUUCCAAUGGGAGCCGGUGUGGAGGCACUGUCACUGCUGCGCUGGAUUAACCCACUCACGGGCAAUCCCGGCACUCCGAGGCUGAGCAGUCCCCGUGGCUAUGGGGGGAUCCCCAUGGAUGGAGCCAGUAGCCCCGGGACAAAGCUGCCCCCCAAAAUCAGGUCUCUGCAGAUGGGAGCCAAGCCCCACAGUGCAGGGGGCUCCAUUUCCAUCCCAAAACAUGGGUACCACAGAGCAUCUUCACAUCGCUCUCGGUGCUUCCAAGUACAUCCUCCCGGGAAGGAGCAGGAUGGCUCCCCAUGAUGCAGGGAUCCCACUGCUCACUUCCUUGGGAUCUGGACACUGGCAUACUCGGAUCCGGCUUCCUCGGGGCGCGGGGCCGGCCGCGGGGGUGCCUUGCUGAGGUGCACCAUGU
rnacentral:lncRNA from 14 species